GGUCGGGUCCAUCUACACUACUGUAGAGGUUAAUAGAACCCAACGGAAGAAAACCUCUAAAACCCUAGACCUGCUAAAUGGUCUUCUUCCUCCUCCUCCUCCCACGAUGCUCCGCCGACUCUUUUCCCGGCCACUCCCCCUCCGCCUCCAAACCCUAACCCUAUUCUCGUCCUCCUCUUCCUCCUCUCUCCUCCCUCCACCGCCACGCCCCAAUCCUCGCCUCCCUUUCUCUGGUCGCGACCCGACUCGAAGCUUCCUCCUCCGAUCGCUGAGAUUCUACUCGGCCUCUCGAGGCGACGGGGGCGAUGACGACGACGGCACCUGGAAGCUCUCUCCGGAGUCCGACGAGGUCGACUCCGUCUUCGGCGAGAUCGCCGAGGGCGGCGAGGAGGCCUUCGGAUCGGAGGCGGCGGAGGACGCCGUGAAGGGAUUCACCGGCGGAAGCGGUGAUCCGUGGGCGGAGGGCGCUGCGGCGGACGGUAAGGGCGAUGUGUUCGAGGACAUUGAUCGGGAGGUCGCCUCGAAGGAGGGAGGGGGAGGCGUCGGAGAGGAAGAGUGGGGAACGGUUGAGGGGUACAAGCCGUGGACAUUGGGGGAGGAUGAGGAGACGGGCGAUGUGUUCGGCGCUGAAGAGCUAGGAGAGGGAGGGAUCGAAGGGAUCGAUGGCGGGGAGAUUGAGGAGGCUGAGAAGGACGUCGCCGAUGAGAAGCACAAACUGGAAGAGAGGGAGAAAGAGCUCUUAGAGACGCUCAAAGGUCCAAAUCGGGCUUUCGGAGAUCUAAUUGCAGCAUCUGGAAUCACCGAGGAUAUGAUAGACAGUUUGAUCCUCUUAAAGGAUGUCAGAAAUGUUCCAGGGCUACCUCCUUUGAGAGAAAUAGAAGACAAAGCUAUAGCAAGAUUGAAUGCAACAUCCAGCAGAGCUGAAAUUGAGAGGAAGAAACAGGAGGAAAUUGCGCAAGCACGUGUAAGACAAGUUGAUGAGAAAGGAAGGGCUUAUGGGACUGGAAGAAGGAAAUGCAGUGUGGCCCGUGUCUGGAUUCAGCCUGGGGAUGGGAAGUUCGUUGUGAACGAUAAGCAGUUUGAUGCUUACUUUCCAAUUCUGGAUCAUCGAGCUGAACUACUUCGUCCAUUUACAGUGACAAAGACCUUGGGUCUUUGGGAUGUAAACUGCACUGUCAAAGGCGGUGGUGUCUCAGGUCAGGUAGGAGCAGUUCGCUUGGGAAUCAGCAGGGCCUUGCAAAAUUGGGAACCGGGGCUCCGGCCAUACCUCAAAGCAGCUGGAUAUUUGACAAGAGACGCACGUGUGGUUGAGAGGAAAAAGCCCGGGAAGGCAAAAGCCAGGAAGAGCUUCCAAUGGGUCAAGCGAUAACAUGUACGCAGUUCGCUACAUCCUCCAGAUCUGUUGCUGUCCACUAUGGUGCAACUAUUCAAAUCAGAGAAUAUUUAGUGAUCCAACUUCUCUGCGUGGCUUCAACAAUCGCUUGUGGGUUGAUCCCUCCCUUAAGUUUUGUUCUCUCCCGCUCUCUCUCUCUCUCUCUCUCUCUCUCUACCAGGGAGUCAAACAAAAGGCAAACUUCGAACUGGUAUUUCUAUUUGUAUUUGUAGCUGCAGUUUUUUUUUUUUUUGCGUAAAUUAUUUGAUUCUUAAAAAAGGCUAAAGCUUCUAUGGCGGGGAGAAGCGAAAAAUAUGAUUUAAAAAUUUAAAAAUAGCUUCUAUGGGAGUUUAUGAUUUUGCAGUUGAGAUAAAUAGUUUGAGAAAAUUUGAAGAGGUGUAUUAUAUGGUUAUUAUAUAGAUUACUCAAAGGCCAAAUAUGUCACGCUCCUGGGAUGCAUGUUUACGUCUACUGGAUAGCUGAUGACAUACACAAAAGAGAUAUGCUAAGUGUACAAUUCAAAAAGAAUUAUAAUUUUUUCUUUAAUUC